GUUACCUAGAGCCUUUUGUACACCAAGCUACCCAUAUCUGGCUAUAAAGUACAGCCCCACAGGGACAGCAUUAGGCCUAUUCACAGCAGAGAGCUGUGUCCGCGUCAUGCUACUUGCAUAACAUAGCUGCAAUGUACACGACUGACGUUAUAAUGUGGAGUAGGACAAUUACUUGUAACAAACUAGUAUUUCAAUCCUUUUAGAAAUGUAAUUACUGUGUCAUUCCUCAAAACAACAGGCAGAGAUCCAGCAACUGUUGACUCGACACGAAACCCUGUGCGGGUUCAGGGUCGUAUUGUUUGGUGUAGCUAAGUGGGGCAUGAUUGCUGGUCAAACAUGGUUAAAUUCGGUGACAGGGAGGUUAAACAAAUACCAUUGAAAGUUGAACAUUUACCCCUUUGAGAACAGCGGCGGAGUCUUCCAGGCCUUUCGGCGCGGCAGCAACAGAGGACAGAUCCCUCAUUUGCACAGUCGACGUGGGACAGAAGCGAUGCUUGCAGACCUCCGCGCCAGACGUAAACAACACCGUUUCAAGUCCAGCUAUAUGUCGUUUCUGUCUGUUUUGGCCUCCAUUCGUCCGAUGUAGCGUCUGCAUGCAGCCUAUAGUGUGGGACCCUAGCGACCCCACAGCACAGCCAGUGAAUUGGUAUUUCAUCUGAGAGGAGCAGAGGUCCUCUGCCAACACCAAGAGCCUGACAGCUGCUGAACGGAUGGCAGAGGGCCGUCUUUCUCUCUGCACAGACACACCAAGGCUGACAUUGAGGAGAGGACAAUUUGGGGUGGAGGAGGGGGGUCGAACUAGAGAUUGACAAUGCAACAGCAGGCUGCAGCGUGGAGCGGCUGCCAUCCGUCAGUGUCUCUCAGGUCCAUCCUGGCCCCUCCCUCCAGCAGAAGCUCUGCAGCCUGGACGUAACCGUUAGCUGCUGCAAUGUGGAGCUGCAUGAGUGACAGGAGAGGAGACCAAUGGAACAGAGUCACUUCAGAGCAGGGGUGUUUCAAUCUCACCCGACCAGGUCCAGACUACUGCUAGUUCUCUCUUCUUCCUGAACAUUCAUUGUAACCAAUCAGUGGAGGGGGGGUCAGUGGAACGGUCUUCCAGGUUCAGAUUUGAAUUUGAGAGAUAUAGAGUGUUGGCUACUUUAACAAGUCGUUUAAUUUGCAAGGAUUCCCUACCUCUUAUUUGUUUAUAUCUAAUGCCUUGUCAGAGAUCUACCAGACAGGCUGGGACGGGACCGCGGCAGGAAGCUAACUCUGAUGCAUAUGUAUGAUUUAUGUAUGCUCUCUUUACGCCUGGCCACUAAAUUGAGAAAUAAACCUCGAGUGAACUCA